AUGGAAACGCCUGAUGUCAUUGACCUUCGGAAGUCACAGAUGAAGGAAGCAGAUAAUAACCAGGCAGAAAGGUCAUUAUACCAGGUUCUUGAACAGAAGGAAGAAAGGACCGCCUCUGCCGGGGCACUGUACAUGUUGAACCAUGCUUAUGAAUGCUUUCCUAACCAAACCCCUAUCAUGCAGUCCUCCCUCAAUUCAUGCUUAGCUUGUCAAACCAUAAAAACACAACUCACAAGCUGUAUGCUCACUCUCGCUUUAAUCACAGGUACGUGCUGGUGGGAGCACAAGAUAAACCAACAUCGUCGUCGUCGUCAUCAGGCCCAAAAAGGAACCAGGGGCUGGAGAGAGUGGACGUCACCAUCCACCUGGACCAGCUCGACGCCGUGCACGACACUCUGGCGGCAAAGCAAGACCGUCUCACCGGCCAUUUUCUGCUGCAGACUGCAGGGAUUAUGCAUGGUGCCGCAUGUUUUGGUUACCUACCUAUGUGUUUCGGUUGACAGGUACAGGGAGUUAUGGGAGGAGGGAGAGUGCGCCGGCAAGAGGAAGAGGAGUGGGAAGAUCGGCGGGGAAGGGAGCUAG
rnacentral:rRNA from 1 species